UCCCAUAGUGGGGCCUGGGAGGGUUCCCCUGGCCUUAAAAGGGGCCCAAGCCCCAUCUCAUCCUGGCACGCCCUACUCCACUGCCCUGGCAGCAGCAGGUGUGGCCAAUGGAGGGGGGUGCUGGCCCCCAGGAUUCCCCCAGCCAAACUGUCUUUGUCACCACGUGGGGCUCACACUUUUCAUCCUUCCCCACCUUCCCUAGUCCCUGCACUAGGUUGGACAGCCCCCUUCGGCUACAGGAAGGCAGGAGGGGUGAGUCCCCUACUCCCUCUUCACUGUGGCCGCAGCCCCCUUGCCCUCC
rnacentral:lncRNA from 1 species